rnacentral:rRNA from 1 species
UACGUAGGGUGCAAGCGUUGUCCGGAAUUAUUGGGCGUAAAGAGCUCGUAGGCGGUUUGUUGCGUCGGCUGUGAAAUCCCGAGGCUCAACCUCGGGUCUGCAGUCGAUACGAGCAAACUAGAGUGUUGCAGGGGAGACUGGAAUUCCUGGUGUAGCGGUGAAAUGCGCAGAUAUUAGGAGGAACACCGGUGGCGAAGGCGGGUCUCUGGGCAACACUGACGCUGAGGAGCGAAAGCGUGGGGAGCGAACAGG